CAACAGGCAGCCAUGACAACAGCAGGCCACGAUGACAUCACACAGCCAUAACAACAAAGCAGAUGCGCAGGUGAGUGUCCAGCUCUCCAGUUAUACUCAGAGAUGAGAAAGACGACAAUGGGCAAAUUCCGGGAGUCCGGGGCAGGGAGAAAGGGGACCUUAAGGAUCUCCAGCCGUCCCGCCCCGCCCACUCGAGCAGUCCCUACCCGCCUCCCAAGACGCCUGGGAAGAGCAGUGGAACCAGGGAGAGCACGAACAGCAAAGAGGUCAGACAUGGGGAAUCCGG
rnacentral:lncRNA from 1 species